UAAGGGAGGAAGAGAUAGAUAGUAAGGGACAGAGAGAUAAGCCUAUAUCGAAUUGUCUGUAAGGAGUGUCGUAACUUCCUAACGUGGUGAAACUAUUCUUUCAUUUAACAAAGGCCUUACUACAACAAUUACAACAACAAGAGGGCCCUUUGUUUUGUGUCUAUUUAUAGGGAAGAUUUUGCACGUCAAACGUUCAUUUAGCCGUAUCACUUUCAUGGAUCAUCACGAACAGCUGAAAAACAGUCACGCUGCCGAGUGAUUUAUUGACACUUAAGUUUUAUAAAAGGAGAAGAAUCAAGAUUUAGAAAUAAUUCUACUAGGCACACAUUUCAUUGAAAGUCACGCUGUUGGAAGAUCGACAAACUUUUUUUGAAACAAAAACUUAAGCAGACGACAGGACAUCGGCCAUCACAGCUUCCCUUUGUUAUACAGAUAUUGUUGAAUAUUAUUCUUGAAUUUUGAAGAAAGAAAACAACGAAAGUUUUAGAAGCCGUUGAUUUAUGGUGAGAAUUUAAAACCCCGUUCAAAGGUUUACAAAUAUUUUUCUGGAAGACAUCUGCAGACGACUAUGAAAUCGGCUAUCAUCGCUAUAGACAUAUUCCACGUUUGAAGCCUUAAGUUUUCAAGAACAACAACUGAACGAAUAUAUAUGGUUGAAAGACCCGCCACAGACACAGAAAAUUUCCUCAUUGAAUAUCAGUCGACACUUACGCCUGACAUUAACAACAAAACACUUCAACACUUCAUUUGUUUUGUUGCUAUCGUGUUAACGACCGUGCAUGUUUAUAUGUCAGGUUUCGAAUAACAUUAUUUACACUUUUUUACAACAACAAACUCAUAUUUCCGUUAUCUUUUGAGUGAAACAAGUGUUUUAUCGACCGUUACACAUUUUGUUUACGUCUUUUCGUACAAAGUGACGCCAAUCCCAUUGAUAAUUAUCGUGACAAGUGCGUUAAAUAUAUACACUCAAAACAUACGACAUAGCUAAAAAGUGUUUUAAAGACUCGUCGCUUCUAUUCUAAGUUAAAUAAUUUAUUGUUGAAGACUCAUUCGAAACUCAUCUUCAUAUUUUAUUUCUAAGUUUUAUAGACAGGCCAAACCAUUGAACACGUGGACCUUCCAUAAUCACUGUCAACCUUUUCAUUAUAUAUAUUGACAUUAUAUUAUAUUACAAACAGUUCAGUACGACAUGUCUUCGUCGAUUCCACUGAAAGAGUUCGCCGAGGUGUGGAGCAGUGCAGCAAAUCUCUACGACAAGGGUAAAUUCCUUGAAGCUGCCCAACAAUUCGAAACGGUUGCAGCUGAUAGCACAGCCAAAAUUUCUUAUAAUCUCGGCUGUAUCUACCUGAAACUGAAACAACAUGAGAAGUCCUUAGAGAACUUUCAAAAAGCAGUGACCAAGGAUACACAUUUUGUUGCAGCCUAUGUGCAGAUGGCUGCAAUUUACUUGGAAUAUAACAUUUGUGAUGCUGCAAUCAAGUGUUACCAAGUAGCUAUACAUUUGAUGGGUAACAAGAAAUAUAUCAACUACCGACCUCUGGGAUUGAACCUAAUUUUAUAUUUGACAGAGGCUCUCCACAACCAAGCUGUUGCUGAAUCAAAAGUUGACAAUUGGAAACAAGUAGAGAUCUUAAUAAACAUGGCUAUCAGUGCUCAACAGGAGGACAAAUUUAACAACAAACUUAAAAUAUCUUUACAGGCCAUCCAGCAAAAACAACAGCCCCAACAGUUUCCCAUUGGAACUGGAAUCUUCCAUCCACCCAAAUGGAUGAUAGAAAGUACGAAGAAUGUCAACUACCUGGGAGAUUCCAAGGUUAUUUCGACCAACAACAAUCCCUUCUCCAUGAAUGAAUCCAAUUCAAGAAGCAAGUCAUCAAAUGACGAGUUAUGGCCCAAUCUCAAGGAACGAGAAACAGGGCAAAAGAAAGAAAUGAAAACUGUGAUUGAACUGCUAACGACAAUAACGUUAGAUACAGCAAUAAAAACUGUUAAUUCGAAACAGAAAGAGAGCAAUCUUGGCACAGAUGGUAAACCGCAACGACCACCAAGACCACAAUCCAAAUCACCACCACUUCGACCUCCACUUCCACCAAGAAUUUCCGAGAUCCGUAAACUUCCUAAACUAUCAACUAACAAUGACCUGAAAUCUCAAGACAAUACAAAAAAUGUCAUCUCCACUGAGGAAAACACUGCUUAAUUUUGUCUGCGCCCCGAGCUGAAUACAAGGAAGUUGGUCGAACUGUGUUUGUGAAAUACAGCCUCCUAAGCAGCAACCCUAAUAUAUUGACGGUCAGACAAGGCGAUAAAAUUGUAGUAAAAGCAUUAGGGGCUGACUGGUUUCAGG
rnacentral:misc_RNA from 1 species